rnacentral:miRNA from 1 species
ACUGGGUAUUCAUUGUAGGGUCGA